GGGUUGUGAGGUUAAGCGACUAAGCGUACACGGUGGAUGCCCUGGCAGUCAGAGGCGAUGAAGGACGUGCUAAUCUGCGAUAAGCGCCGGUAAGGUGAUAUGAACCGUUAUAACCGGCGAUUUCCGAAUGGGGAAACCCAGUGUGACUCGUCACACUAUCAUUAACUGAAUCCAUAGGUUAAUGAGGCGAACCGGGGGAACUGAAACAUCUAAGUACCCCGAGGAAAAGAAAUCAACCGAGAUUCCCCCAGUAGCGGCGAGCGAACGGGGAGGAGCCCAGAGCCUGAAUCAGCAUGUGUGUUAGUGGAAGCGUCUGGAAAGGCGCGCGAUACAGGGUGACAGCCCCGUACACAAAAGCGCAUGUGCUGUGAGCUCGAUGAGUAGGGCGGGACACGUGGUAUCCUGUCUGAAUAUGGGGGGACCAUCCUCCAAGGCUAAAUACUCCUGACUGACCGAUAGUGAACCAGUACCGUGAGGGAAAGGCGAAAAGAACCCCGGCGAGGGGAGUGAAAAAGAACCUGAAACCGUGUACGUACAAGCAGUGGGAGCACCCUUUGGGGUGUGACUGCGUACCUUUUGUAUAAUGGGUCAGCGACUUAUAUUCUGUAGCAAGGUUAACCGAAUAGGGGAGCCGGAGGGAAACCGAGUCUUAACCGGGCGUUAAGUUGCAGGGUAUAGACCCGAAACCCGGUGAUCUAGCCAUGGGCAGGUUGAAGGUUGGGUAACACUAACUGGAGGACCGAACCGACUAAUGUUGAAAAAUUAGCGGAUGACCUGUGGCUGGGGGUGAAAGGCCAAUCAAACCGGGAGAUAGCUGGUUCUCCCCGAAAGCUAUUUAGGUAGCGCCUCGUGAAUUCAUCUCCGGGGGUAGAGCACUGUUUCGGCUAGGGGGCCAUCCCGGCUUACCAACCCGAUGCAAACUGCGAAUACCGGAGAAUGUUAUCACGGGAGACACACGGCGGGUGCUAACGUCCGUCGUGAAGAGGGAAACAACCCAGACCGCCAGCUAAGGUCCCAAAGUCAUGGUUAAGUGGGAAACGAUGUGGGAAGGCCCAGACAGCCAGGAUGUUGGCUUAGAAGCAGCCAUCAUUUAAAGAAAGCGUAAUAGCUCACUGGUCGAGUCGGCCUGCGCGGAAGAUGUAACGGGGCUAAACCAUGCACCGAAGCUGCGGCAGCGACACUCAGGUGUUGUUGGGUAGGGGAGCGUUCUGUAAGCCUGUGAAGGUGGCCUGUGAGGGUUGCUGGAGGUAUCAGAAGUGCGAAUGCUGACAUAAGUAACGAUAAAGCGGGUGAAAAGCCCGCUCGCCGGAAGACCAAGGGUUCCUGUCCAACGUUAAUCGGGGCAGGGUGAGUCGACCCCUAAGGCGAGGCCGAAAGGCGUAGUCGAUGGGAAACGGGUUAAUAUUCCCGUACUUGGUGUUACUGCGAAGGGGGGACGGAGAAGGCUAUGUUGGCCGGGCGACGGUUGUCCCGGUUUAAGCGUGUAGGCUGGUUUUCCAGGCAAAUCCGGAAAAUCAAGGCUGAGGCGUGACGACGAGGCACUACGGUGCUGAAGCAACAAAUGCCCUGCUUCCAGGAAAAGCCUCUAAGCAUCAGGUAACAUCAAAUCGUACCCCAAACCGACACAGGUGGUCAGGUAGAGAAUACCAAGGCGCUUGAGAGAACUCGGGUGAAGGAACUAGGCAAAAUGGUGCCGUAACUUCGGGAGAAGGCACGCUGACACGUAGGUGAAGUGAUUUACUCACGGAGCUGAAGUCAGUCGAAGAUACCAGCUGGCUGCAACUGUUUAUUAAAAACACAGCACUGUGCAAACACGAAAGUGGACGUAUACGGUGUGACGCCUGCCCGGUGCCGGAAGGUUAAUUGAUGGGGUCAGCGCAAGCGAAGCUCCUGAUCGAAGCCCCGGUAAACGGCGGCCGUAACUAUAACGGUCCUAAGGUAGCGAAAUUCCUUGUCGGGUAAGUUCCGACCUGCACGAAUGGCGUAAUGAUGGCCAGGCUGUCUCCACCCGAGACUCAGUGAAAUUGAACUCGCUGUGAAGAUGCAGUGUACCCGCGGCAAGACGGAAAGACCCCGUGAACCUUUACUAUAGCUUGACACUGAACAUUGAGCCUUGAUGUGUAGGAUAGGUGGGAGGCUUUGAAGUGUGGACGCCAGUCUGCAUGGAGCCGGCCUUGAAAUACCACCCUUUAAUGUUUGAUGUUCUAACGUGGACCCGUGAUCCGGGUUGCGGACAGUGUCUGGUGGGUAGUUUGACUGGGGCGGUCUCCUCCUAAAGAGUAACGGAGGAGCACGAAGGUUGGCUAAUCCUGGUCGGACAUCAGGAGGUUAGUGCAAUGGCAUAAGCCAGCUUGACUGCGAGCGUGACGGCGCGAGCAGGUGCGAAAGCAGGUCAUAGUGAUCCGGUGGUUCUGAAUGGAAGGGCCAUCGCUCAACGGAUAAAAGGUACUCCGGGGAUAACAGGCUGAUACCGCCCAAGAGUUCAUAUCGACGGCGGUGUUUGGCACCUCGAUGUCGGCUCAUCACAUCCUGGGGCUGAAGUAGGUCCCAAGGGUAUGGCUGUUCGCCAUUUAAAGUGGUACGCGAGCUGGGUUUAGAACGUCGUGAGACAGUUCGGUCCCUAUCUGCCGUGGGCGCUGGAGAACUGAGGGGGGCUGCUCCUAGUACGAGAGGACCGGAGUGGACGCAUCACUGGUGUUCGGGUUGUCAUGCCAAUGGCACUGCCCGGUAGCUAAAUGCGGAAGAGAUAAGUGCUGAAAGCAUCUAAGCACGAAACUUGCCCCGAGAUGAGUUCUCCCUGAGACUUUAGGUCUCCUGAAGGAACGUUGAAGACGACGACGUUGAUAGGCCGGGUGUGUAAGCGCAGCGAUGCGUUGAGCUAACCGGUACUAAUGAACCGUGAGGCUUAACCUUACA
rnacentral:rRNA from 1 species